AUGGUUUUCCUUCAGACAGAGAUGUGCUGGAAUGUACUGAUCUCAGCUGGUCAGCUGAGCCCCAAGGGUCUGCUGCUCCGCAAGUCUAUCAUUGUGCGUCUUCUGGAGGACGUAACCAACAGGAAGGCCUCCAAGGAGCAUGGCUACUACAUUGCUGUCAAUGGGCUGAAGGAGAUAUCUGACGGGAAAAUUCGUGAGCUGACCGGAGAUGUUCUUUUCCCGGUCACAUUCACCUGCAUCACUCAGAGGCCUAUGAAGGGCGAUAUCUUGGUCGGCUCCGUGGAGAAGAUCCUCAAGCAUGGCGUGUUCCUCAAAUCUGGGCCGAUGGAAAACAUCUUCAUGCCGGCGAAGUCAAUGAGCGACUACAAGUACAUGGGCGGUGAGAACCCCAUGUUCAUGAAGGACUACUCGAAGCUGGAGAAGCACACCAUCGUGCGCUUCAAGGUCAUGGGGUUCUGCUGGAUGGAAGCAGAUCGCCAGUUCCGGCUCCUCGCGACGAUGGCUGGUGAUUUCCUUGGGCCGCUGUGA
rnacentral:rRNA from 1 species